AUUGAACGCUGGCGGCAGGCCUAACACAUGCAAGUCGAGCGGAUGAAGAGAGCUUGCUCUCUGAUUCAGCGGCGGACGGGUGAGUAAUGCCUAGGGAUCUGCCUGGUAGUGGGGGACAACGUUUCGAAAGGAACGCUAAUACCGCAUACGUCCUACGGGAGAAAGCAGGGGACCUUCGGGCCUUGCGCUAUCAGAUGAGCCUAGGUCGGAUUAGCUAGUUGGUGGGGUAAAGGCUCACCAAGGCGACGAUCCGUAACUGGUCUGAGAGGAUGAUCAGUCACACUGGAACUGAGACACGGACCAGACUCCUACGGGAGGCAGCAGUGGGGAAUAUUGGACAAUGGGCGAAAGCCUGAUCCAGCCAUGCCGCGUGUGUGAAGAAGGUCUUCGGAUUGUAAAGCACUUUAAGUUGGGAGGAAGGGUUGCAGGUUAAUACCUUGCAGCCUUGACGUUACCGACAGAAUAAGCACCGGCUAACUUCGUGCCAGCAGCCGCGGUAA
rnacentral:rRNA from 1 species